UACGGAGGGGGCUAGCGUUGUUCGGAAUUACUGGGCGUAAAGCGCGCGUAGGCGGAUCUGCAAGUCGGGGGUGAAAUCCCGAGGCUCAACCUCGGAACUGCCUUCGAUACUGCGGGUCUCGAGUCCGGGAGAGGUGAGUGGAAUUCCUAGUGUAGAGGUGAAAUUCGUAGAUAUUAGGAAGAACACCAGGGGCGAAGGCGGCUCACUGGCCCGGUACUGACGCUCAGGCGCGAUAGCGUGGGGAUCAAACAGG
rnacentral:rRNA from 1 species